CUAUACAUGACUCUGCGCAUAUCAAUAAGCGGAGGAAAAGAAACUAACAAGGAUUCCCCUAGUAACGGCGAGUGAAGCGGGAAGAGCUCAAAUUUGAAAUCUUAAAGGGUUUCCCUUUACGAAUUGUAGUUUAAAGAAGUGUUUUCUGUUGAGGUUUUGGUAAAAGUUCUUUGGAAUAGGACAUCAUAGAGGGUGAGAAUCCCGUAUUUGACCUUUACUUUCAACUUUGUGAUACACUUUCAAAGAGUCGGAUUGUUUGGGAAUGCAGUCCAAAAUGGGUGGUAAAUUUCAUCUAAAGCUAAAUAUUGGCGAGAGACCGAUAGCGAACAAGUACCGUGAGGGAAAGAUGAAAAGAACUUUGAAAAGAGAGUUAAACAGUACGUGAAAUUGUCAAAAGGGAAGCGUUUGACACCAGUGUUGUUUUUCUGAAAAUCAAUUAAAGAACUGUUUAUGCUAAGCUGUUUAGACUUUAUCAGCUAUCUGUUUAGUUUUGAGCUUUUCUUUAAUGCACUUUUCAGUUAACAAGUCAACAUCAAUUUCUUUUGCUGUAAAAAAGCUUGAGGAAGGUGGCUUGAGAUUCGUCUUAAGUGUUUAUAGCCUCUUGCCUAUGCAGUCGGAGAGAUUGAGGUCUGCAGCGUAGAUCCUUCGGGGCUAAAUGCAUUUGUGCUAAGUUAUAAGCAUUUUAUAGACAACUUGUUGACUAUGAUUUGUCUUGUAGCUUACUCGCUUAUGUUAUUUUACCUACGCUUAGGAUGUUGAUCUACAGAGCGAGAGU
rnacentral:rRNA from 1 species